CACCGCGGUUAUACGAAAGGCCCAAGUUGAUAGGCAUCGGCGUAAAGGGUGGUUAUGAUCCCGUUGAAAUAAAGUCGAAUACCUCCCAGGCUGUUAUACGCUCCCGAAGGUAAGAAGCCCAACUACGAAAGUGACUUUAAAAACUCUGACCCCACGAAAGCUGUGACA
rnacentral:rRNA from 1 species